rnacentral:misc_RNA from 1 species
GUAACAAGGUUUCCGUAGGUGAACCUGCGGAAGGAUCAUUAAUGUUAUUUGUUUUUAGACCUGCGCUUAACUGCGCGGUUUAAUAAACUCUUAUACACAGUGUUUUUGUUUGCGAAUUUGGUUUAGUUUGUUGGUUUUCAUUCGAAAGGAUGAAGAUUGAUUGCUAAAUCUUAUUCAGCUUUUUAAACUCAGAUCUCUUUUUAAGAGAAAUGUAUUUUUUUAAUUACAACUAGUCGAUUUUACAAACUAAAAGUUUAAAACUUUCAGCAACGGAUCUCUUGGUUCUCGCAUCGAUGAAGAACGCAGCGAAUUGCGAUAAGUAAUGUGAAUUGCAGAUUUUCGUGAAUCAUCGAAUCUUUGAACGCAUAUUGCGCUCUAUAGUAUUCUAUAGAGCAUGCCUGUUUGAGCGUCAUUUCUCUCUUAAACCUUUGGGUUUAGUAUUGAAGGUUGUGUUAGCUUCUGCUAACUCCUUUGAAAUGACUUGGCAAUUGAUUGAGUUUUCCAUAUAUUUGCUUAAGGAUUUAAUAUUAGGUUCUACCAACUUAUUAAAUACCCUUUUGCGAAGGACUUACUCGUGUAUCAAGGCCUUAUAACUUUGUCAUUAAUUUUGACCUCAAAUCAGGUAAGGAUACCCGCUGAACUUAAGCAUAUCAAUAAGCGGAGGA